rnacentral:rRNA from 1 species
AACGAACGCUGGCGGCAUGCCUAACACAUGCCAGUCGAACGAGACCUUCGGGUCUAGUGGCGCACGGGUGCGUAACGCGUGGGAACCUGCCUUUAGGUUCGGAAUAACUCAGGGAAAUUUGAGCUAAUACCGGAUGAUGUCUUCGGACCAAAGAUUUAUCGCCUUUAGAUGGGCCCGCGUUGGAUUAGCUAGUUGGUGGGGUAAAGGCCUACCAAGGCGACGAUCCAUAGCUGGUCUGAGAGGAUGAUCAGCCACACUGGGACUGAGACACGGCCCAGACUCCUACGGGAGGCAGCAGUGGGGAAUAUUGGACAAUGGGCGAAAGCCUGAUCCAGCAAUGCCGCGUGAGUGAUGAAGGCCUUAGGGUUGUAAAGCUCUUUUACCCGAGAUGAUAAUGACAGUAUCGGGAGAAUAAGCUCCGGCUAACUCCGUG